rnacentral:rRNA from 1 species
UACGGGGGGGGCAAGCGGUUGUUCGGAAUUACUGGGCGUAAAGGGUUCGUAGGUGGCCAACUAAGUCAGACGUGAAAUCCCUCAGCUUAACUGGGGAACUGCGUCUGAGACUGGAUGGCUUUGAGUGCAGGAGAGGAACGCGGAAUUCCAGGUGUAGCGGUGAAAAUGCGUAGAUAUCUGGAGGAACACCGGUGGCGAAGGCGGCGUUCUGGACUGCUACUGACACUGAGGAACG